AGUUUGGUGUUUGCCUUCCAGUUCUUUGUGGGUGCAAGUGACCUCAUCCAAAGUCAGGUCCAUUUUAAGGUCAGCAUCUACCUGACCGUGUCGGGAACAGUGGGAUCAGCAGCACUGGGUUUCUUACUGCUGCUGUGCUACAACAGAAAGCAUAAUAGUGACUCCCUCAUGUGGAUGGUGGUGGUAGGGACAUACGUGUUCCUGGUUGGCUGGUUAUGUCUCGGCUUUUACUGGGUGUUCUCUGAAGAAAAGCACACAGAUAAUGUCUACAAUACAGCAAGAUGGUCCAUUACUUGUUUGUGUCUACAUUUCAGCAUUACUCCUUGCUUAAUGGCCUG